UACGUAGGGUGCAAGCGUUAAUCGGAAUUACUGGGCGUAAAGCGUGCGCAGGCGGUUUUGUAAGUCUGUCGUGAAAUCCCCGGGCUUACCUACGGUGGAAUGGCAUUGGAGACUGCAUAGCUAGAGUACGGCAGAGGGGGAUGGAAUUCCGCGUGUAGCAGUGAAAUGCGUAGAUAUGCGGAGGAACACCGAUGGCGAAGGCAAUCCCCUGGGCCUGCACUGACGCUCAUGCACGAAAGCGUGGGGAGCAAACAGG
rnacentral:rRNA from 1 species